UACGUAGGGUCCGAGCGUUGUCCGGAAUUAUUGGGCGUAAAGAGCUCGUAGGCGGUUUGUCGCGUCUGCUGUGAAAUCCCGAGGCUCAACCUCGGGCCUGCAGUGGGUACGGGCAGACUGGAGUGCGGUAGGGGAGAAUGGAAUUCCUGGUGUAGCGGUGGAAUGCGCAGAUAUCAGGAGGAACACCGAUGGCAGAGGCAGUUCUCUGGGCCGUAACUGACGCUGAGGAGCGAAAGCGUGGGGAGCGAACAGG
rnacentral:rRNA from 1 species